rnacentral:misc_RNA from 1 species
GUUUGACCAUGGGAUAUUAGUUCGUGGUUUCACUCACUCGUACUCACGAAUGAGACUUCGACCGGUUGAAGAACGGAAUCACUCUGAAGGAAAAUUAUGAGUCCCAGAAGAACUAAAAAAGCGGCUUCCCCUCAAAAAAGUAAACGUCAAAAAAACAAAAAGAGGGAACUUGCCGUCGCAGCCACGCCGUUAAGGCCUGCUUUGGGGCGGCCACCAAACACUAUAAGAAAAAGCGAGCGGCUCGAGAAUGCAGCACACCCUCGCCCUGGCCCAUCUAACGAGAGCGGGCAAAGAAUCACAUUUACGCUACCGCCUUCUGUGCAAGAACAAAUGGUCACUUGCGCCAUUACCGAGGCUAGAGAUUUCCGUGACGAAAUCAAAAUUAAUUUGGAAAUAAAAAUCAAGCCCAUCAACUGAACAUUUCCUUUUGGACAAGUAACAACAAUCGAUCUUAGGGUCCAAAUCAUGCCCUCUGGCGAUUGAAAAAUUCAUUUCUGUACUUGAAAAUCACAAAUUAUUUCUUAUAUCACACAGUUUUUCUCAUAUUGUUCGACAAACAGUUUGCUAUUAAAAAAUAUAUGCAUGCUUACCUGGGUUAUGAGUUUACAUCUUUUGCCUAAUCUUCACACUCGCAGCAUUUAACUCAUUACUUGAUUUCAAACUUACCAGAAUAACAACAGAUGAAAGAAUUUUUGCUAAUUUUGUGCUCAACAUGUAUGACUACACACACAAAAUAAUAUUACUAGUGGCAAUAGAGUGUAAACAAUGGGCAGACAAAGAAGAGGAGGCAGACUAGUCAAUGGAGUAUAACAAUAACUAUAUCCACAACUUUGUUGAUUCGUGAAGGGGAAGAAACUUUCACUGUUUUCCAGCGCAGAGACUAAAAAUUGGGUAAUGAUCUGUAGUUAGCCUGGUGACAGGGCUAGAGAGCGAAGGGCUAUUAGACCAUGAAUGUGUAGAGGUGGACUGCUGUCUGUUUGCUGAGACCAACGCUUAGCCUCUUGCCUAGUUCUCCACUCAUUGUUAUUUGUGUUAUUGCCAUGACCGCACAAGAGAAGAGAGCCACACUCGAAUUAGCUGCAUGGCCAGUUGAACGCGAUCUUGUCGCAUCGUCUGGUCGAUCCUUCGAUGAAACACUGCCGAUCUCUGAAUGGAAAGAUGCCAUCAAACAAGUUAUAACAGUGGCUAUAACGAUCGUAUGUAAAUACUGUACAGCUGUUUGUUAUUUAUUUCUUAAAUUCAGAUUACUGUUGGUAUUUCUCUCUCGUCCGAAAAGCGCUGUAUAGGUGGAUGUCACAUCUGGUGUAUGUGCGGACAUUCAAUAUUACGGAUCGCAAUUUAAACCAUAAAUUUCUUGCUGCUAGAUGAUUUCUUAACACGUUCUUUUUAUAGAAUAUAAAUAAACAUUUAUAAUACAAGGCUGGGUGGUAAACACCGGUCAUACAGAAGAAAACCACACAAUAUUUAAAACAGUGCAAUGGCAAUGGAGAAUGAUUUAUUCUGUGAUAAUGAUAAAUGCAAUGUUAGACAACUAAAUCAGCUACUAAUUACCAUGUAUUGAUCAAACAAGGGAUUGGAGUUUUACACCGAGCAUGCAGCUAAAGCUAUAUAACAGCAAGGCAGCCAGCUAUGUAAACAUAUGCCACAUGCAGAGAUUGAACAGUGUGCCUCAGACAAGAGCUGAAGCUAGGACAGCCAAUCCUCC